rnacentral:rRNA from 1 species
GGGGGGAGCAAGCGUUGUUCGGAUUUACUGGGCGUAAAGGGCGCGUAGGCGGCCAGCGCAAGUCAGUUGUGAAAUCUCCGGGCUUAACUCGGAAAGGUCAACUGAUACUGCGCGGCUAGAGUGCAGAAGGGGCAACUGGAAUUCUCGGUGUAGCGGUGAAAUGCGUAGAUAUCGAGAGGAACACCUGCGGCGAAGGCGGGUUGCUGGGCUGACACUGACGCUGAGGCGCGAAAGCUAGGGGAGCGAACGGGAUUAGAUACCCCGGUAGUCCUAGCCUUAAACGAUGAAUGCUUGGUGUCUGGGGUUAUAUAGUCCCCGGGUGCCGUCGCUAACGCUUUAAGCAUUCCGCCUGGGGAGUACGGUCGCAAGACUG